rnacentral:lncRNA from 1 species
AUGGUUGUUUAUUUUCUUGAAUUGCUAAAUUCUCAUAAAGUUUACGCACAAGUCCCUUUGUACCUCUUAAAUUUAAAAAUGAGUUAAAUAGAGUAGAAAUUUGUCACCACCCAUAUUUUUUACUCUCGGGAUUCGUAAUGGCGCCUAAGGAGCUAGGCAAGCCAAUCCCUUAGUUAGUGAAGAAUAAGCUGAUUAAAUUGACGAGAAAUCUCUCCAGAAUAGUGAAGUACUGUAGCAUG